ACGGUGAAGCUCCAGCUUGCUGGGGUGGAUGAGUGGCGAACGGGUGAGUAACACGUGAGUAACCUGCCCCCUUCUUCUGGAUAACUGCUUGAAAGGGUAGCUAAUACGGGAUAUUCUGGCCUGCUCGCAUGGGUGGGUUUGGAAAGGUUUUUUCUGGUGGGGGAUGGGCUCGCGGCCUAUCAGCUUGUUGGUGGGGUGAUGGCCUACCAAGGCGGUGACGGGUAGCCGGCCUGAGAGGGUGGACGGCCACACUGGGACUGAGACACGGCCCAGACUCCUACGGGAGGCAGCAGUGGGGAAUAUUGCACAAUGGGCGCAAGCCUGAUGCAGCGACGCCGCGUGAGGGAUGGAGGCCUUCGGGUUGUAAACCUCUUUCGCCAGUGAAGCAGGCCAUCUUCUUUGUGGGGUGGUUGACGGUAGCUGGAUAAGAAGCGCCGGCUAACUACGUGCCAGCAGCCGCGGUAAUACGUAGGGCGCGAGCGUUGUCCGGAAUUAUUGGGCGUAAAGAGCUCGUAGGCGGCUGGUCGCGUCUGUCGUGAAAUCCCCUGGCUUAACUGGGGGCUUGCGGUGGGUACGGGCCGGCUUGAGUGCGGUAGGGGAGACUGGAAUUCCUGGUGUAGCGGUGGAAUGCGCAGAUAUCAGGAGGAACACCGGUGGCGAAGGCGGGUCUCUGGGCCGUUACUGACGCUGAGGAGCGAAAGCGUGGGGAGCGAACAGGAUUAGAUACCCUGGUAGUCCACGCCGUAAACGUUGGGCACUAGGUGUGGGGGCUCUUUCCGGGGUUUCCGCGCCGUAGCUAACGCAUUAAGUGCCCCGCCUGGGGAGUACGGCCGCAAGGCUAAAACUCAAAGGAAUUGACGGGGGCCCGCACAAGCGGCGGAGCAUGCGGAUUAAUUCGAUGCAACGCGAAGAACCUUACCAAGGCUUGACAUGUGAGCGUCUGCCUCAAAAGAUGGGGUUUCCUCCUUGUGGGGCGCUUUCACAGGUGGUGCAUGGUUGUCGUCAGCUCGUGUCGUGAGAUGUUGGGUUAAGUCCCGCAACGAGCGCAACCCUUGUCCCGUGUUGCCAGCACGUUGUGGUGGGGACUCGCGGGAGACUGCCGGGGUCAACUCGGAGGAAGGUGGGGAUGACGUCAAAUCAUCAUGCCCCUUAUGUCUUGGGCUUCACGCAUGCUACAAUGGCCGGUACAGAGGGUUGCGAUGUCGUGAGGCGGAGCGAAUCCCUUAAAGCCGGUCUCAGUUCGGAUCGGUGUCUGCAACUCGACACCGUGAAGUUGGAGUCGCUAGUAAUCGCAGAUCAGCAACGCUGCGGUGAAUACGUUCUCGGGCCUUGUACACACCGCCCGUCACGUCAUGAAAGUCGGCAACACCCGAAGCCCGUGGCCU
rnacentral:rRNA from 1 species